CCGGCGCACGGGUGCGUAACGCGUAUGCAACCUACCAUCAACAGGGGGAUAACACUGAGAAAUUGGUACUAAUACCCCAUAACAUCACCGGAGGCAUCUUCGGUGGUUGAAAACUCAGGUGGUCAGAGAUGGACAUGCGUUGUAUUAGCUAGUUGGUGAGGUAACGGCUCACCAAGGCGACGAUACAUAGGGGGACUGAGAGGUCAACCCCCCACAUUGGUACUGAGACACGGACCAAACUCCUACGGGAGGCAGCAG
rnacentral:rRNA from 1 species